rnacentral:rRNA from 1 species
AUGCUACUAGAAGGAAGGAGAGGCAGCAUGAUCAGGAGUUCAGGACUGUACCCGCUCUGCGAGGCUGUGGCUGUCAGUGGCCUGGCCUCUCCUUGCCCGGACAUGGACGUAGUCCUUGGGGGGCUCCGCCGGCUUGGCAUUCUUCCCCUUGCCGCCCUUCCUCUGCUCGCCGUCCUCCACCGAGCUGUCGCUCCCGGCCUGCUCCGCCUUGGGCUUCACCUUCUUCUCGGCGUCGCCCGUCCUGCACCUCUUGCCGUCCGCCUCCUUCUGCUCCCCGACCUGCAAGGCACAACACAAUUGACGCGGCUUGGUCAGCGUCAAUGGCGGGCGAGUCCCCCAAUUGGCGAAGAAAGACAGAGCCAAGCUCUGCUCACCUGGCAAGAGGUGCUGAGGGAAGGCUCCUUGGCCUUGCCUUUGCCCGCGGGCGCCUUCCUCUUCUUGGCAUUGGCGUCCUUCAUCGCCGAGGCAGGGUCGGACACGGAGGACGCCUCCCGCGAGCCGCCGAACUCGCCCGGCGGCGGCAUCCCGAAGAGGCCCGGCGCGAAGUGCUGGCCGUUGAAGCUGGACAGCCGCGCCGCCCGCUCCGCGAACCCCGGGUCGCCGCAGAACUUGUCCAGGCAGUCCCCGCCCGCCGCCACGGCGCCGUCCAGCACGCCGAAGUCGAGCAUCGGCGACGAGGUGAGGAGGCUGGUAAUGUAG